UACGUAGGAUGCAAGCGUUGUUCGGAAUUAUUGGGUGUAAAGGGCGCGUAGGUGGCCCUGUAAGUCAUGGGUGAAAUCCCUCGGCUCAACCGAGGAAUUGCCUAUGAUACUGCAGGGCUUGAGUACGGGAGAGGGAAGUGGAAUUCCUGGUGUAGCGGUGAAAUGCGUAGAUAUCAGGAGGAACACCGGUGGCGAAGGCGGCUUCCUGGACCGAUACUGACACUGAGGCGCGAAAGCGUGGGUAGCAAACAGG
rnacentral:rRNA from 1 species